AUUGAACGCUGGCGGCAGGCCUAACACAUGCAAGUCGAGCGGAUGAAGGGAGCUUGCUCCUGGAUUCAGCGGCGGACGGGUGAGUAAUGCCUAGGAAUCUGCCUGGUAGUGGGGGAUAACGUCCGGAAACGGGCGCUAAUACCGCAUACGUCCUGAGGGUGAAAGUGGGGGAUCUUCGGACCUCACGCUAUCAGAUGAGCCUAGGUCGGAUUAGCUAGUUGGUGGGGUAAAGGCCUACCAAGGCGACGAUCCGUAACUGGUCUGAGAGGAUGAUCAGUCACACUGGAACUGAGACACGGUCCGGACUCCUACGGGAGGCAGCAGUAGGGAAUAUUGGACAAUGGGCGAAAGCCUGAUCCAGCCAUGCCGCGUGUGUGAAGAAGGUCUUCGGAUCGUAAAGCACUUUUAGUUGGGAGGAAGGGCAGUAAGUUAAUACCUUGCUGUUUUGACGUUACCAACAGAAUAAGCACCGGCUAACUUCGUG
rnacentral:rRNA from 1 species